AUUCAGAAAUAGGCCAAGACUAUAGCUACUCUCAGCCUGAGUCAUCCGAUCAGUAUGAUAUGUACUCAGAGGACACUACGGAGAGAGAAAUAGAAGCUUUGAUUCUUAUGGAUGAAGCAGAGAGUACGUUCAUCAAUGCUGAGUCGAGGCAAUACCCACCUCAACCUGAGGUUGAGCAUGGAUUCCCCAAGGUAUGCUACUGUGGUGCUCAGCCAAUUCUAUCCAGCUGCUACAACAGAAGGUUCUUCACAUGUCCAAAUGUCGAUGAUGGAGAGAUGCAUAUUUACAAGUGAUGGGAUGUGGCUGUAAUGGAGGAGCUGAGAGACAGUGAUAGACGAUAUGAAGUGAUGGCUGAGAAGCUAUUUUCGUAGGCUGGUUGUUGGUGUAAUGGAUGGUUGUUGGCUGUAAUGGCUACUUAAAUCAGAUUGGAGACAUUUAGUUAGGGUGGUGGUGUAAUGUAAUUACUCGGAUGUUCAGGUUAUGCCUUUUUAAUGACUCUGCUUUUGUAAUGGCCUUUGUGUUUGUAUUAUGUACUUGUUGUUACACUAUAGAGUCACAGAUUCUUCAAUAUAAAGUUGAGGCUCACGGGUUCUCACAUUAUGU